rnacentral:lncRNA from 1 species
AAUCUUAUACUUGUAAUAUUUUUAUUAUCAAUAAAGGAUUUUUUCAUUUCAAUCAUGUUUAUGUGCUCAUAAUUUAUCCUAAAAAUUAAUAAAGAUAAUUUUUAUAUAUUCUCAAAGUGUUAAAAAUUUGAGACAUACAUUAAUUAGUGGUUAAUUUCUAAAUACUCUGGAUCAAAAAAUCAUCAUGGAGGACUGUGAUCAAUCCAUUC